GGAUCAUUAAAGAGUUUAAUAAAACUCCUAAACCCCUGUGAACUUACUGGUGUUUGGCUCGCCAGAUAUAGUCUGGUCCGUAAGCAAAUCGACUGCCUGCCUGUGUAACAGGCAGGUAAGCUUUUGUCGCGGGGUCCCGGAUCAACCCGGGCUAGAUAGCCACUUAACUAUAUACUUUUUAUAAAAUCUGUGAACUUACUAGGUUGGAUUCUCGCCAGAGAUAGUCUGGUUUCUGCUUCGCGGAUCGCCUACCCGUGACACCUGUCACAGGCAGGUAUGCUUCUGCCGCGGGUCCGUAAGUAAAUCAUCUGUUUCGCAAGGGACGGCGAUUUACCUGUGGAAGAGGUCCGCUAACUAUAUUCUUAGUAUAGUUUGUUCACUAGAUCAAACAUUCUGAAUAAAAACUUAAACUAGUUAAAACUUUCAACAACGGAUCUCUUGGUUCUGGCAUCGAUGAAGAACGCAGCGAAAUGCGAUAAGUAAUGUGAAUUGCAGAAUUCAGUGAAUCAUCGAAUCUUUGAACGCACAUUGCGCCCAUUAGUAUUCUAGUGGGCAUGCCUGUUCGAGCGUCAUUUCAACCCUUAAGCCCCUGUUGCUUAGCGUUGGGAGCCUACAGCCUGCUGUAGCUCCUUAAAGGUAGUGGCGGAGUCGGUUCACACUCUAGACGUAGUAAAAUCUUUAUCUCGCCUAUGGAUGAGCCGGCGCCUUGCCGUAAAACCCCUAAUCUUUCACAAGGUUGACCUCGGAUCAGGUAGGAAUACCCGCUGAACUUAAGCAUAUCAAUAAGCGGAGGAAAAGAAACCAACAGGGAUUGCCCUAGUAACGGCGAGUGAAGCGGCAACAGCUCAAAUUUGAAAUCUGGCCUUCGGGUCCGAGUUGUAAUUUGCAGAGGAUGCUUUGGGCGCGGUGCCUUCCGAGUUCCCUGGAACGGGACGCCUUAGAGGGUGAGAGCCCCGUACGGUUGGACACCAAGCCUCUGUAAAGCUCCUUCGACGAGUCGAGUAGUUUGGGAAUGCUGCUCUAAAUGGGAGGUAAAUUUCUUCUAAAGCUAAAUAUUGGCCAGAGACCGAUAGCGCACAAGUAGAGUGAUCGAAAGAUGAAAAGCACUUUGAAAAGAGGGUUAAAUAGCACGUGAAAUUGUUGAAAGGGAAGCGUUUGCGACCAGACCUUUUCCCAGCGGAUCAUCCGGUGUUCUCACCGGUGCACUUCGCUGGGUUGAGGCCAGCAUCGGUUUCCGCAGGGGGAUAAAAGCCUGGGGAACGUAGCUCCCUCGGGAGUGUUAUAGCCCCUCGCAUAAUACCCUUGCGGGGACCGAGGACCGC
rnacentral:rRNA from 2 species